rnacentral:rRNA from 1 species
UACGGAGGGUGCAAGCGUUAAUCGGAAUUACUGGGCGUAAAGCGCGCGUAGGCGGCUUGGUAAGUCGAUUGUGAAAUCCCCGGGCUCAACCUGGGAAUUGCAGUCGAGACUGCUUGGCUAGAGUGUGGGAGAGGGUGGUGGAAUUCCCGGUGUAGCGGUGAAAUGCGUAGAUAUCGGGAGGAACAUCGGUGGCGAAGGCGGCAUCCUGGACCGGCAUUGACGCUGAGGCGCGAAAGCCAGGGGAGCAAACGGG